rnacentral:rRNA from 1 species
GGACUACUCGGGUUUCUAAUCCCAUUUGCUCCCCUGGCUUUCGUUCCUCAGCGUCAGUUAUGGCCCAGUAAGUCGCCUACGCCACUGGUGUUCUUCCUGAUAUCUACGCAUUUCACCGCUACACCAGAAAUUCCACUUACCUCUACCACACUCCAGUCUGCCAGUAUCCAAUGCAGUCCCAGGGUUGAGCCCUGAUCUUUAACAUUAGACUUAACAAACCGCCUACGAACUCUUUACGCCCAAUAAAUCCGGACAAUGCUUGCAUCCUACGUCUUACCGCGGCUGCUGGCAC